rnacentral:rRNA from 1 species
GUGCCAGCAGCCGCGGUAAAACGUAGGAGACAAACGUUAUCCGGAGUUACUGGGCGUAAAGGGCGUGCAGGUGGUCAUUUAAGUUCGGCGUGAAAGCUCCUGGCUAAACCGGGAGAGGUCGUCGGAGACUGGAUGGCUAGAGGGUGAUAGAGGCGGGUGGAAUUCCGGGUGUAGUGGUGAAAUGCGUAGAGAUCCGGAGGAACACCAGUGGCGAAGGCGACCCGCUGGGUCACACCUGACACUGAGACGCGACAGCAUGGGGAGCGAACGGGAUUAGAAACCCUUGUAGUCC